rnacentral:rRNA from 1 species
CCUACGGGAGGCUGCAGUGAGGAAUAUUGGUCAAUGGACGAGAGUCUGAACCAGCCAAGUAGCGUGAAGGAUGACUGCCCUAUGGGUUGUAAACUUCUUUUAUAUGGGAAUAAAAUGUUCCACGUGUGGGAUUUUGUAUGUACCAUAUGAAUAAGGAUCGGCUAACUCCGUGCCAGCAGCCGCGGUACUACGGAGGAUCCGAGCGUUAUCCGGAUUUAUUGGGUUUAACGGGAGCGUAGGUGGAUUGUUAAGUCAGUUGUGAAAGUUUGCGGCUCAACCGUAAAAUUGCAGUUGAAACUGGCAGUCUGGAGUACAGUAGAGGUGGGCAGAAGUCGUGGUGUAGCGGUGAAAUGCUUAGAUAUCACGAAGAACUCCGAUUGCGAAGGCAGCUCACUGGACUGCAACUGACACUGAGGCUCGAAAGUGUGGGUAUCAAACAGGAUUAGAUACCCCAGUAGUC